rnacentral:lncRNA from 1 species
GUCUAUUCAUCAUCACUAGCACAAUUUAUCUACCUCACAAGACCGUGGAGUUAAAUGGGGGUAAAGUUAGAGCAGCCCAUUUUCCAUCUGUUAGUUGCUUUCUUAUUUUGGAAAUUACAAGAUAUUCAGAUAGUAUAUAAAGUGUUCAUGCUUUUAGGAAAUGUAUUUCUAGUUGUAAAAAGUGUCCAUGUAUUUUAAUAAAGUAAAUGUGUUUGUCAAUAUAU